rnacentral:rRNA from 1 species
AGAGGGUGCAAGCGUUAAUCGGAAUUACUGGGCGUAAAGCGCGCGUAGGCGGUUUAGUAAGUCGGAUGUGAAAGCCCAGGGCUUAACCUUGGAAUUGCAUUCGAUACUGCUUGACUAGAGUAUGGUAGAGGGAAGUGGAAUUUCCGGUGUAGCGGUGAAAUGCGUAGAUAUCGGAAGGAACACCAGUGGCGAAGGCGACUUCCUGGGCCAAUACUGACGCUGAGGUGCGAAAGCGUGGGGAGCAAACAGGGAUUAGAUACCCUGGUAGUCCACGCCGUAAACGAUGAGAACUAGAUGUUGGGGGGGGGUUGCCCUUCGGUGUCGCAGCUAACGCGUUAAGUUCUCCGCCUGGGGGAGUACGCCGGCAACGGUA